UUCAUUCUUUCUUUUCCCCUUAAAAAAAACUGAAAAAAAGUUCUCUCCCCCCUUUCUCAAAUCCGGCCAUGGGUUCCCUCAGCCCCCGUCGUGCUGGCCACCGUGUACGGUGGCCGGAAAUUCAAAAAGAGGUACUUUUUCUUUCUUUUUUUUUAAAAUAUGCGUAUAUACAUAUAUAUUUUUGAACAGGAAUAAAAAAAUGAACAAAAGAAAGGUUUUUUGAAAUUAAAACCUUUGUCUCUGCUUUUAUUUCUUUUUUUUUGUUCCAAAAUCCACUUUUUUCUUCUUGAUUCCCCCCUUACAAUCUGUUUAUAAUCGUUUUUACCCCCAAAAUAAAAAAAGAAAAAGCCCCCUUUUACAAUGGUUUAAUCUCGGUUUUUAUACCGAAAAUCCAAAAACAAAAGCCCUCUACUCCCUUUUGUGGUCUGUUUCCUUUUGCUCUUUGUUUGCAGGUGAUUGACGUUGAUAGAGCAAGUGGGCAUGGUGAUGGUGGCAAGUGGGGUGCGCCACUAGCGCUGAUGACGUGAUGACGACGGCGGUAGCAGAGGGGUCAGAAGAGGCGGCUCUAGGGUUUUUGGUGAAAUUGGGCCUGGGUCUGUUGGGCCGUUCAGGCUUGAGUUGUAAUUGGGCUGAGGGUUAAUUGGGUUAAAGUUUUCUAAGUGGGACAUUUUUGUUUUGCUGGUAUGGGCCCUGGCAAAUGGGCUUGUACAGGAUUUAAGCAGUAAUGGGGCGUACUGGAAACCUAGUGGACAUAGCCACUAAAAUGAGCUGAAAACUGCUGCAAAAAAUUCAAUCAUAUAUAUACACACACAGCAUUACGAAGGAAGCAAAAGAAAAUUAAAGGAAUCGCAGAAUAUGGAAGGUGGUGAUUCAUUGAAGAAAUCCCUUGCAUUGCUUCAUGGUGUUAUUAAUGGUAAAACAGGCCAUGGAUUGGAAGCGAUAGUCCUCCAAGGACUGUGUGUCAUCCAUGCCGAAAAGGGUUUUAUGCGAUUUGAUUUCGUCGUACCAAAUAUUGUCUCGGAUGUUGAUGGAAAUUGGAGUGUUGGAGCUUUAGCAUCAUUGCUCGACGUUAUUGGAAUCGUUACUAUUUAUUCCUUAUUCCUUUGCCAAUCGUAUCACUAGUACGGUUGAUUUCAACGUUUCAUAUUAUUCAACAAUUAAGAUUGAAGUUAAGAGUUUCUUAUUUAAUCAUGGGGUGUUUUUUCUUGAGGGGGCAAAUAUAUAUUGAUAUCUGAAUUUUUGCUUCUUAGUUCAAAUUGGGUACCUAACCUUUUUUUUGUCCAAUUAAGUACUUAAACUUGGCAUUCGGUUCAAAUUAGUUCAAAUAUACCGUAAGUACUAAUUUAAACUAAAAAGCCAAAUUCAAGUAGUUAAUUGGAUAAAGAAAAUCUUAGGGGCCAAAUUGAACCCUGAAACCAAAUUUAGUAAAUUCAAAGCUGUUUGAUUGAUAUUUGUAAAAUUAUUUGAUUGUUAUAGGAGCAUGUGGAGAUAAAAUCAAAGGUUAGUGCAAAUAGAGGAAAGCUCAUGCAUGUGGUGGUUGAAGUUAGAAGGGAAGGAAAUGGUGAAGUAAUUGCUGUAGGAAAAUUAUGGACGGCUUCAAAUAAACUCACUUUUGCUCAAAUGAGUAAACUUUGACAACUUAAAUAAACCAUGUUAAUUAUAAGAUAAAUAUAAUUCAGAUGUGUUAAUUAUGGACAUCAGUGAAAUGUACUUUUCUUUUAAAUCUACGGCUUAUUUCAAACCAUUUAUGUUGUAGCUGUUAAAACGGAAAGUGUGUUCAAAUCCAAUUAUAUCUUCUUCA